UCAUUACGAUCAAAGAGUCGGGACGAGUUCCGGUUUAAGAGUGUCAAAAUAGUGGUUGAAUUUUGUCAAACGUUCUUCAAACUGUAUGACAUAGGGAAAGAUGUCUUCCAAUUCUCCAUUGAUUGGGCUCCUUCGAUUCCGACCCAAGAUAAUGGGUGGGACUGUGGAGUGCAUGUCAUUAGACAUAUGCAGAGAUUCAAAAAUGGUGAUUCGAUGACGAGCUCCGACUUUUGUAAUUCUGUUAAAAUACGUCGAGAAAUAGCAUGUGAUUUAGUUUUACACGAGGGAAAUAGAGAAAAACAAACCAUUGUGGCUAUUGUUUGUACAAAGACGUCGACACGAGCAAUGAAAAAAUUAUUAUUAUGAUAUUUGUUAUUUUUCUAAUA